AGAACUAUGGUACAUUUCAUAAUACACAAUACGUUACUGCACGUUCCAUCAUGUGUUCUAAACACCGCCCGAGGACUCAACGACAGGUUCUGCUGCUUACUCCCUCGUCACAACAAUAGGGCAGUGUUCGGAAACAGAUUGUUCAUACAUGUGAGAAAUAUACUGGAGAUCAAAGUAAUUAAGUGAAUAAGAAAAGUUUUGAACUCCAAACGAUAGAAAGGCCUGGCUGGAAAGUAACGGAUACUGAUUUUCUCAAAGCCACGAAAAUAUAUUAUGAACUCUAACAAUUAUAAGAACAUAAACUACACCAAAAACAGAAUCGUUUUAGCCAUUAUCAAACUGAACUGAAAGUACACGUAACUAAUAAUAUUAAAAAUAUUCUCACUUCUAGUAUUGAUCAUUGAUAUAAUACUUUAGAGAGCUGUCUAAUUUCAACGCAAAACUAUUGCGAUUUGUGUUAUGUUUUUAGGUUCUAAAUAUAUACUUACAAUAUAGUAUUUGCGGCUAUUGGUAACUGUAAAUAAUUUGUAUAAAACCUUUGAGACUAAGCUAUUGGUUA